AUGAACGCUGGCGGCGUGCCUCAUCCAUGCAAGUCGCGCGAACGGACGAGAAGCUUGCUUCUCUGAUGUUAGCGGCGGACGGGUGAGUAACACGUGGAUAACCUACCUAUAAGACUGGGAUAACUUCGGGAAACCGGAGCUAAUACCGGAUGAUAUUUUGAACCGCAUGGUUCAAAAGUGAAAGAUGGUCUUGCUGUCACUUAUAGAUGGAUCCGCGCUGCAUUAGCUAGUUGGUAAGGUAACGGCUUACCAAGGCAACGAUGCAUAGCCGACCUGAGAGGGUGAUCGGCCACACUGGAACUGAGACACGGUCCAGACUCCUACGGGAGGCAGCAGUAGGGAAUCUUCCGCAAUGGGCGAAAGCCUGACGGAGCAACGCCGCGUGAGUGAUGAAGGUCUUCGGAUCGUAAAACUCUGUUAUUAGGGAAGAACAUAUGUGUAAGUAACUGUGCACAUCUUGACGGUACCUAAUCAGAAAGCCACGGCUAACUACGUG
rnacentral:rRNA from 1 species